GUCGGGGUGGUGGAACGGCAGACACAGGGGACUUAAAAUCCCCCGUCCUUGUGACGUGCGGGUUCGAAUCCCGCCCUCGGCACCA
rnacentral:tRNA from 2 species